AGGACGAACGCUGGCGGCGUGCUUAACACAUGCAAGUCAAGGGGGCCCAGCAAUGGGCAACCGGCGAACGGGUGCGUAACACGUGAGCAACCUACCGAAAUGCGGGGGAUAGCCGGCCUAACGGCCGAGUAAUACCGCAUACGCUCUCUAUGAGGCAUUUCAUGGAGAGGAAACCUACGGGGUAUUUCGAGGGGCUCGCGGCCUAUCAGCUAGUUGGCGAGGUAACGGCUCACCAAGGCAACGACGGGUAGCUGGU
rnacentral:rRNA from 1 species